UCUUUCUGAUGGGUAUGCUCCUGUAUGCUUUCUGAUGGGAACACAUCUCCUGGUCUUUAGGUCACUUUAGGUCUGGAGGCUUAUGAAUGUACCUGUAAGUUCCAGCUGUUGGGCUUCACUCUUUUUUUCUUGUUUUGUUGUAUUUGUCAUGAAAUCUGAGGAAGAACAGUUCUCUGAUGGUACACGGUGACGAUGCAAGUGUUUAUUUUGCUGUAUAAUUUGAUAAUGUGAAAAUGGGACUGAUCUUUAAACUGUCAAAUAACAUGCUUUCAUGUCCUAAUGGUACAUGACAUCAUGUUUAAGUAGUUUUUCAUCCCUCGUUCUGGUUCUGGCUUGUCACAAGGAAUCUGAAAGAUUAGCUACAGAGCUAUCCCCACAGGUUUUAGGUAGACGAUGGACCGUUGAACACAUUUCACUUCUUGUUGUGGCUGAGUGGGAAUUAAGUCGGGUCCAACUGAACUCUCAUUGGUCCACAGAAAACCAGGAGGAAAUUACAACGAAGUGAAUUCAAUGUUGGUGCUGGGUGUUGAGCACAGCGACUGCAGAAAUAGGGUUUGUAGGAGCAGCAUACAUGGCUAGGGGUCAGAAUGAUAAAGCCAUUACCUCAGUGGAUCCCAACCUGCCACAUUCCUGGUUGGCUGAUCCACUGCCCAUUUGAAUUGUGGAAGAAUGUAAUAUGUCUGUUCCACUGUUCAACUGUGUUUUUGUUCUUUUGGGAAUUAAAUGGUUUCUGUGUCU